rfam:Colletotrichum orchidophilum strain IMI 309357 Scaffold_186.1, whole genome shotgun sequence.
GGCCGGGUGGCGCAAUGGCAGCGCGUUGCUUUCCGGUGGCAAAGGUUCUGGGUUCGAGUCCCAGCUCGGUCG